AAGGUCCAAAGAUAGUCAAAGGAUCCUUAUUCUUGGUGCAACAAAUCGCCUGUUCGAUCCAGAUGACGCUGUAAUACGGCGUUUGCCUAGGAGAUGGCCCACAGGAUAUACGUCGACCUUCCGGAUGCGCAGAAUAGGAUGAAAAUUCUCAAGAUUUUACUUGCCAAA